rnacentral:lncRNA from 1 species
AGAGGGUGGCAAAAAUCCAAUGCGUUAUUCUUUUCCGACCCCCUCCCCACUCUCACCAGAUGCCUCCGAAAAUCAGCUGGACGGUGGGAGGGAUCAAGAAUGACUGCCGUCACCAUGGAAACUCCUUGAUGGUGAGAUUGCUUUGAGAACCAGGAGGGGAUGAGAUAAGCACCAGAGGAACACUGGGCAGUCAGGGCCCAGCAUCCACCAACCCUUUCUUCCAGAUAACUCCUUUGUUCUCUGGGCUGGUCUCCCUUUUGCUCCUAUAGGGGCCCUUUCUGACUCUUCACCUGUUUUGAUUCUUCAGUGGUGCCCUUCCCGGGUCUGGGAGGGAAGGGCCCGAGGCCCACUCAGGGCUGCCCCAGGAUGGCCACUUCUCACUGCAGCCCAGACACCCUGGUCUAUAAGACACACUAUCCUUGCCACUGAGAAGGAAGGGACGUCAACACUUUUGAGCCAAGCCCUGUGUCCCCUGCAUCCAGCAAGGAAGAAGAAAAAUAAAGACCUGACUAUUUUUCACAGGUGCAACGGGUGACUAAAGACCGAAAGAGAGUGGGGUGGUUUUCACUUCAUCUUGUUGAGAAGCCAGGGCCUGAAGUCCAGAGAUCCCCAUUCACAUGCACCCUCUUCGGUGGGAAGGGGAGGAACUCUUACCUCCCUCUCUGCCAUGUUCUCCUCUCGUUGCCCAUUUGUGUACUAUCCUCUCCGUCCCCUACCUGACUGCAUGUGCCUUGAAUGCAAAGGUCUUACUGCUCAUCAGCUUUACUUCUGCUUCUUUUUAACUUUCUGCUUCCUUUUUGAAACAGGAGACAAUGGGAGAGGUGGUCUCCUUCCUUAUUUUCACAUUUAUAAUGAGCAUUAUAGCCUAGUGUCCGGCUAGGAUUGAGACAAGCAGGGCACUGGUGACCUUUAGAGAUGCUUUUGCUCAUUCACAAGAAUUUGAUCCAGGCCUGUAAGGUGCAGGAAUUGUGACUGUGAUGCAGAUGUAAAGCUGAUGAGCAGUAAGACCUUUGCAUUGAAGGCACAUGCAGUCAGGUAGGGGACAGGGAGGAUAGUACACAAAUGGGCAACGAGAGGAGAACAUGGCAGAGAGGGAGGUAAGAGUUCCUCCCCUUCCCACCCAAGAGGGUGCAUGUGAAUGGGGAUCUCUGGACUUCAGGCCCUGGCUUCUCAACAAGAUGAAGUGAAAACCACACCACUCUCUUUCUGUCUUUAGUCACCCGUUGCACCUGUGAAAAAUAGUCAGGUCUUUAUUUUUCUUCUUCCUUGCAGGAUGCAGGGGACACAGGGCUUGGCUCAAAAGUGUUGACGUCCCUUCCUUCUCAGUGGCAAGGAUAGUGUGUCUUAUAGACCAGGGUGUCUGGGCUGCAGUGAGAAGUGGCCAUCCUGGGGCAGCCCUGAGUGGGCCUCGGGCCCUUCCCUCCCAGACCCGGGAAGGGCACCACUGAAGAAUCAAAACAGGUGAAGAGUCAGAAAGGGCCCCUAUAGGAGCAAGAGGGAGACCAGCCCAGAGAACAAAGGAGUUAUCUGGAAGAAAGGGUUGGUGGAUGCUGGGCCCUGACUGCCCAGUGUUCCUCUGGUGCUUAUCUCAUCCCCUCCUGGUUCUCAAAGCAAUCUCGCCAUCAAGGAGUUUCCAUGGUGACGGCAGUCAUUCUUGAUCCCUCCCACCGUCCAGCUGAUUUUCGGAGGCAUCUGGUGAGAGUGGGGAGGGGGUCGGAAAAGAAUAACGCAUUGGAUUUUUGCCACCCUCUGUCUCUUGGUGUCCUUCUGAGGGGGACAGAGCAGGGGCAAGGCUGGCAGUGGUGUAGGCUGGGGUGGGGGAUGAAGGCAUUUGUGAUACCCUUCACCUCCUGUGUUCUCCUGAGUCCCAUGACUAGCAUGGCAGCCGAUUAUUCUUACUACUCAUUCCUGAUUGUCUUUUUGUUCUUUUCCUUCCCAUUGUUUAAGCCUCUGUUCUGAAAUGUACCCUCUGAUGCAGGCUGCAGGGAGAAGAUGUCUCAGAGCAGCCAGGAAUUUGCUGCAAGGUUUGAGUCAGGCAGCUCAGGCUCCUCUCCUCAAAACCAUUCCAACUCCAAAUUUGUCAAUAAAAGGAAACCUGACAACUGUGGUUAAUGACAGGAGCCUUAGUUGCUUUGUUCCUCUCUACCCAUGAAGGUCACAGAGAACAGGGAGAGAUUGGACCAGAUGGUUCACAGGACAAGUGGUCUGUCUUGACCCAGAGUGGGCACACAUAAAGGAAUCUCUCAGUGUUCCCAAGCAAUCAGCAGUCUCUUGACCCAGAAUGGGUACACAUAAAUGAACAAUUCCAUGUUCCCAAGCAGUCAGCUCGGAAGUAUCUCAGCAAUCUAGCACUAUUGGGUCAGCAAACCACCUGGGCUCCUUCCAACUCUAAGCAAAAAAUGUGCCUAAAGAAGUGAAACAUAUCACUUGUGCCAGCGAUGUUAAAGGUGCUCCAUCCAGGCUAACACAAGUACAAAAAUUCUUAAUAAUUCUUGGUAUUUGUCAGAGAGCCCCCACCUUUUAUCAAUGUAACCCUGUGAAGUUUCACUUUACAAAUAACAACAAAGACAUAUCCCGUAAACUAGAAUGAAAAUACUGUGUAGAUUUUGUGUGUGCUUUGGUAACAAUGACUCCCAAUGAGUCAGGUGUUCCUGUGAAAACACCAUUUUGCAAUGAGACUUUUUGUCUCUCUCCUUUCAGGGUUUGAAUUCAUUUCCUUAUGCGGUGAUGCUGGCUUGGUUAUUUUGAUCAGUGAAAUCUUUCUGAUGUGACAUUGCUCACUUUCCUAGGCUGAGUCCUAAGAUGUUUCACAGUUUCUGUCUUUGCCCUUUUGGAGUCUUGAGCUCCCCACGCUGAGAACAAUUCCAGAAUGAAAGACCAGCUGGAGGGAGAGGCCCAGCCAUGCUAGCUGUUCCUGCCAUUCCAGUUGGAACUGCAUCCUUGUGAGGGGGCAUUCUAGACCACCCCAGAGUAGAUGUCUGUAGUUGCAUGUUUGAGCCCAGGUGAGCCUAAGCAGAAGAAACUCCCAGUGAACUCACUGAAUCAUAGAAAACUGUAAUCACUGUUUUCUGGCACUGUGGUUCAGGAUGGAAUGCAGCCAUAGGUUGAGUAUCAGGUUUGAUCCUCUUUAGUCUUGCGUGUAAGUAUCCUUUCGUGUUACAGUAUAACCCUAGGAUCAGACUACGGACUUGGUUCACAGCAUUAAACAACUUAUUUAACUUCUCUAAGCUGCAUUCUUUAUCUGUAAGUUCAUGAUAAAAAUAACUACUGCCUUCUGAGGGUUUUGAGUGGAUUAAAUGUGAUAAUACAUGUAUGUUCUUAAUGAAAAAAAUUAUGGAACAAAAUCUAAGAAAAAGAAAAUACUAUUUAAAAUGGAAUAUUUUAGUAAAUCUGAAAGUAGAAAACACUUAGAAAACAUUUAAAAUAUUUAAAAUGCUAAAAAAGUCAGAAAUCAAUCAGAAAAAUAUUGUAUGAUAGAAUGAAACAGCACAUAAAACCAUGUUUCACAAUUAUUAGGCUAAUGUUUUUAUAAAACAUUCAUGAUGCAUUAUUUGAAAUCAUUUAUAAGAAAAUGGCACAAAAUUGUUGACCCCAUCCUAAAACCUAAGUAUAAAUACAGAUAAAUGUGUGGAAAGAUCCACAUCUAAAUUUUAUCAAACACUGUAUCCACAUUAUGAUGUUACUGGAAUUAUUUCAUUACUGCUAUUCAUGUUUUUCACACCUUGUAUGUGCUUUCCACAUUGUUCUGUAAUAAAUAGGAAUUAUCCUCAUGGUCUGAAAAAGAAAUACAUCAAUAAAAAUGUAGUUUUCUUUGGCAGAAUUCUGAUAUAAGAAUAACUCGGACAGGUGUAAAAGUUGUUUUUGGCAGUUAUUUUUCCUCUUUUGAGCUUCCUGAAUCUAUACAUACUCAGCCUGUUCAGUUAGAGUUCUUGCCUUUCCAUGUUCCUGACUCCUAAGCUGAACACAUUUUAAUUUAUUAUAUAUUAUGAGGAUAAACUAAUAUAUUCACAUUAACGAGGUGACGAAAUUAUAGUAUAGCAAGGAAGGUCCAGAAUGAAUACGUAAACAUUAAACCAGGGUUUUUCAUGUGCUAGGACUACAACACAGAUCAAAACAGCUUCAACACAUGCUAACAGAACUGACAUUUUAAAACACAGAUAAUUUUUACAAAGUAACUAGUAAAAUACUUAGUAUACACAGGAGUGCUAAAUUAUAUGUAGUUAUUUAUGCUGGAUAUAUGUUAUAUGUAAUUCAAUAAUGUGAUAAAUAUUUUUAUUCUGUAAUUUGCCUUUUUAUUAUCUCAGUGGUCUUAUUUGAAGACGUCUUAAUUUUUUCAAAGUCUAUUUUAUCAAUUUAUUUUUAAUAAAUUUUAUUUUUAUAUUUUGAUAUCAUAUGUAAUAAUUUAAUGGUCAAAAAUAUUUUCUCUCAUUUUUUUCAUGCAAUUUGAUAGUUUGACGUUUUGGCUUAAGAUUGUGUUAAUUUCUGUAUGUGGUUUGAAAUACGAUCAAGGUUCAUAUUUUUUAUAUAUCUCACAUUUCCCAGCAUCUUACUGUUUAAAUACUAUCAUUUCUUCAUUAGAUUGACUUUACAGCUUAGUCAAAAUGAAUUGGUGACAUAUAUGGAUAUUUCUGGUCCUUCUAUUUGUCCAUCCUUUCUUCAGUACCACAGUACAUUGGGUAAUCUAAUUAGACAGUAAAUCUGGAAAUUACAAGUGUAAAUUUUCCAGCUUUGUGAUUCUCUUUCAGAUUGUUUUGGAUAUUCUAGUUUAUUCGCCUUUUAUAUCAGUUUUAGAAUCAUCUUGCUAAUGUCUACAAAUAUUUUUCUGGGACAUUGGUUGGAAUUGUAUUACUUCUAGAGAUUAAUGGAAGUCUAAAAGUCUAUAGAUUUGAAUCCUUCAAUCCAUAAAUAUGAUAGUCCUCGCCACUUAAUUAGUAUUUUUUUUUAGUAUAUUUACAGUUUUAGCAUACAGAUGUUUUGGGGUUUCUAUUGAUACUGUAAUAAAUUGCCACAGAUUUAGUUGUUUACAACAACACAAAUUUAUUAUAUUAGAGUCUAAAGGUCAAAAAUCUAAAUUAGGUUUCUCUUGGCUAAAAUGAAGGCAUUGGCAGGGCUUUGUUCCUUCUGUUGGCUCUAGAGGAGAAUCUACUUGAUUGUCUUUAGAAGAUUCUAGUUACUUUCUCCAUUCUUUGGCUCAUGGCCUUUACCUCUACCUCUAGUCAAUACUAUAGUAUUUUGCAAUGUUUCUCAUUCUAACCACCUUUCUCCAACGUAUAAGGGCCCUUGUGAUAAUGUUGGGCUCACCUAGAUAAUCUAGGAUAAUCCCAAUCUCAAAAUAUUUAAUAACAUCUACAAAUUUUCUUCUACAAUAAAAUAUGAUGCUUACGAGUUCAGGGGUUACAUUGUGAACAUUGUUUGGGCGGGGGCUGUUACUCUGCCUACCACAGAGAUCUUGUAAUUUUUUCUUAGAGUUUCAAAUAAAUAUUUUAUGUUCAUAUUUUAUUUUUCAAUUAGCUUGAUUUAAUCAUUGCAUAAUGUACACAUAUAUCAAAACGUCAUGUUGUACACCUUAAAUAUGAUUUUUAUGUCAGUUAAACCUUAAUAAAUUGGAAGAAAAAAGGCUGAGUAAUACAAAACAGUAUUUCACUGAAAAAAAACACAAAUACCAGUAAAUAUACUAUUCUUUUGAGAAAUCAUAACAGAGGUAUGAUAACAACUAAAUUCUCUUUUAUUUCAUUUUAAGAUAUCACUUAAAGUUAUAUAAGUAAACAUGCAUCACUAUAAUACAGUUUUAGAAAUUAUAUACUAAAAACAGUUAUCACUUUGGAAAAUUCUAUGUACAUACAGUAUUGCAAAGUGACAAAAUUUUUUUACUGUUCAGAAUGUUGCCCCCACCCCAAAAAGAUUGUAUGUAUUCUAUUAUUACAAUGUUUUUCAUUAUGGAAAAGAUACUUCAACUGUUUUUUUUACUUUCAGACAUUAAUGGUCUUAUACAUAUUCAUACAUUCUGAAUCUAAAAAAACAUAAACCAAAAUCCUGCCUGUAACCAUAUAGUAAUUGUUUUUUAUAGUUUUUCCCUUUCGGUGUUUAUGCUGUAGCCUCUGUUUCAGUUGGAAUCAAAAUUGUAUUAAUCACUUACUAUUUAUAACAUUUUUUACACAUUUCCACAAUAUAAAUAGCUUAUUUAUAACCUACUUCCCAAACAUGUAUACUAGAUUAAUGCUGCAGAUGGCCUUACAUAGUCUGGUGCUUGUCUUUCUCUUGCAUGUUCUCUCUCUCUCUCUCUCCUCUCUCUCUCUCUCUCUCUCUCUCUGUGUGUGUGUGUGUGUGUGUGUGUGUGUGUGUGUGUGUGUGUUUAUUUCCCUCUAUUUCUCUCCAUUAGGUUAAGAGUUAAGCGUCACCAAAAGAAAAUGGGGAGAGAAGCCUAGGAGAUAUCUCUUGAGUAUCAAUUCUGUCAUACCCUUCCAUUCUUCAAAUAUACUCUUAAAAAAUGGGGAAAAAAGAUAAUUAAAAAGGGUGAAAUAUUCUUGGGUGGACUAUGCUUAACCCUUCAUAAAUUGGUGACUGAAGGCUUUGAAAGGUAUUUUAACAGUCAAUGAGAAAAUGUUUUAGUCUUUGACAGAAAAUGGACACUGUGGAUCAGCAAUGAAGGGACCUGAGAGGCAGGAGAGCCUUUUGGGAGCACUAAAGGACAAUCCUUGCAAAUGAUGACUAGUUGAUCAGUGAAAAGAGUUUAGAGAAUUGAGGAAUCUGGAGUAAAAUGUCUCAGCUGACGAAGAAUGGCUGUGGCCUCUAUACAACGUAUUUCUUAUUUGAGCCAAGCCUCAUUUGGCAAAAGUAGAUAAAUUCUUAAGGAACCAAAGUGCAUGCGUUUUCUCAGGAGUCCACAGUUCUUAUGUGUAGUCGUCUAGAAGGCACAAAAAGUUCCUUGAAGUAGCCCAGCACUGAGGAGUGGGUGCACAGGAUGCAAAACAGGCAUCACCAUGCUCGCAGCUACAGCCCCAUCCCUAGGGACACCACAUAUGCAGUGCAU